rnacentral:rRNA from 1 species
UACGUAGGGUGCAAGCGUUGUUCGGAUUUACUGGGCGUAAAGGGCGCGUAGGCGGCAAUUCAAGUCAUCUGUGAAAUCUCCGGGCUUAACCCGGAACGGUCAAUGAUACUGCUUUGCUAGAGUGCGGAAGGGGCAAUCGGAAUUCUUGGUGUAGCGGUGAAAUGCGUAGAUAUCAAGAGGAACACCUGAGGUGAAGACGGGUUGCUGGGCCGACACUGACGCUGACAGCGCGAAAGCCAGGGGAGCAAACGGG